rnacentral:rRNA from 1 species
UGCAAGUCGAACGCUUUGUCUUUAAUUGAUCUGACGAGCUUGCUCUGAUWUGAUUUUAUCUGACAAAGAGUGGCGAACGGGUGAGUAACACGUGGGUAACCUACCUCUUAGCAGGGGAUAACAUUUGGAAACAAGUGCUAAUACCGUAUAAYACUAACAACCGCAUGGUUGUUAGUUGAAAGRUGGUUCUGCUAUCACUAAGAGAUGGACCCGCGGUGCAUUAGCUAGUUGGUAAGGUAAUGGCUUACCAAGGCGAUGAUGCGUAGCCGAGUUGAGAGACUGAUCGGCCACAAUGGGACUGAGACACGGCCCAUACUCCUACGGGAGGCAGCAGUAGGGAAUCUUCCACAAUGGGCGCAAGCCUGAUGGAGCAACGCCGCGUGUGUGAUGAAGGGUUUCGGCUCGUAAAACACUGUUAUAAGAGAAGAACGACAUUGAGAGUAACUGUUCAGUGUGUGACGGUAUCUUAUCAGAAAGGAACGGCUAAAUACGUGCCAGCAGCCGCGGUAAUACGUAUGUUCCAAGCGUUAUCCGGAUUUAUUGGGCGUAAAGCGAGCGCAGACGGUUAUUUAAGUCUGAAGUGAAAGCCCUCAGCUCAACUGAGGAAGGGCUUUGGAAACUGGAUAACUUGAGUGCAGUAGAGGAAAGUGGAACUCCAUGUGUAGCGGUGAAAUGCGUAGAUAUAUGGAAGAACACCGGUGGCGAAAGCGGCUUUCUGGACUGUAACUGACGUUGAGGCUCGAAAGUGUGGGUAGCAAACAGGAUUAGAUACCCUGGUAGUCCACACCGUAAACGAUGAGUGCUAGAUGUUCGAGGGUUUCCGCCCUUGAGUGUCGCAGCUAACGCAUUAAGCACUCCGCCUGGGGAGUACGACCGCAAGGUUGAAACUCAAAGGAAUUGACGGGGACCCGCACAAGCGGUGGAGCAUGUGGUUUAAUUCGAAGCAACGCGAAGAACCUUACCAGGUCUUGACAUCCCUUGCAAAUCCUAGAAAUAGGAUGUUCCCUUCGGGGACAAGGUGACAGGUGGUGCAUGGUUGUCGUCAGCUCGUGUCGUGAGAUGUUGGGUUAAGUCCCGCAACGAGCGCAACCCUUAUUAUUAGUUGCCAGCAUUCAGUUGGGCACUCUAGUGAGACUGCCGGUGACAAAC